rnacentral:rRNA from 1 species
UACGUAGGGGGCAAGCGUUGUCCGGAAUCAUUGGGCGUAAAGCGCGUGUAGGCGGCUCGAUAAGUCUGCUGUGAAAGUUCAGGGCUCAACCCUGAAAUGCCGGUGGAAACUGUCGAGCUAGAGUCCGGAAGAGGCGAGUGGAAUUCCUGGUGUAGCGGUGAAAUGCGCAGAUAUCGGAAGGAACACCAGUGGCGAAAGCGGCUUCCUGGUCCGACACCGACGUUCAGGCACGAAAGCGUGGGGAGCAAACAGG